rnacentral:rRNA from 1 species
UACGUAAGUGGCAAGCGUUGUCCGGAUUUAUUGGGUUUAAAGGGUGCGUAGGCGGCUUUGUAAGUCAGUGGUGAAAUAUGGCAGCUCAACUGUCAGGGUGCCAUUGAUACUGCAGAGCUUGAGUACAGAUGAGGUAGGCGGAAUUGACGGUGUAGCGGUGAAAUGCUUAGAUAUCGUCAAGAACACCGAUAGCGAAGGCAGCUUACUGGGCUGUAACUGACGCUGAGGCACGAAAGUGUGGGGAUCAAACAGG